rnacentral:rRNA from 1 species
GGUACCGUCAGGCCUAACGUGUAUUAUACGUUAGGAGGUCCUUCCCCUCUGACAGAGCUUUACGACCCAAGAGCCUUCAUCACUCACGCGGUAUUGCUGCGUCAGGCUUUCGCCCAUUGCGCAAAAUUCCCCA